UGAAUUACGACCAGGACUUAAUCUCUUCUGCUGUAUGUAACCUAAACGACUACUUUGUUCGCCGCUCUGAUGGAAACAGAGGGGCGAGAUCGGAGCAGAGACCGAGACAGCCAUGAGAGGAGCUGAGAAGAAGCGACGGAGGUGCGUAGGUUAGCCGUAGGCUUUACUGUUGUAGUAUUGUACGCCGCUUUAAUUUGCGGAAGAGAAGGAUAAAUAAAGAAAUAAUAUUUUUUUUGGUCUCUGCGGUUUCGUUUCGGAGACGAACACUGUUUGCCGACCACAACCGUACUUUAAUGGUUAGCAUUUGUCGCGCCUUCGUUUUCCCGUUGACCGUUAUUUUCCUUCCUAUACAGAGCUUCUUAUUAUGGCCCAUUCUAAUAUUCAAAGGCAACUACACGCCGUUUUCUAUCUAGGCUAUAACACUGCAAGACGUUCUAACGUCAAGCAGGUGAGAGUAAAAGGCCUGGUACUGUUUCAUAAGUUUGAUCAUGGUACCGUACAGGACUUUAAAGACACAUUGCACGAAGUAAGGCCUUCAGUUUCUCCGAACGAACUUAGAAUCUACAACAACCGGAACAAUCAGUUUGGUAGUAUAAGCCGUUAAGACAGAGGCUGGUGAGUUAAUAAAAUCUUAUCAUAUAUAUACUAUCACUGAUCCUUUUGUUUGUCUUGAAUAUACAUUUGCGUUAUCUAUCACAAAAAUAAGAUAUACAAAUACAAAUACAAGAGUUUUUACAGUACCUGUUUAGACCCUAAGAAUCCAGUCUCUUUUUCCUUAUGUGCCCCUUCUUUAUUGUCCCCUGUCAAAGCAUUAAAGAGAGACAUUUGAACAAUCCACAAAAGCAAAAACUUGAACUAACAACAUUUCUAUGUAACUUUACCUAUACAUCUUUGCUAUAUAUAUAUAUUUUUUUCCUUUUCUGAAUGUUUGACACCACCUAAACAUUCUCCAACGUGCUUAUACGAUUAGCCCUUUUCAGGAGACUCCUGUAUUCAAGACUCCUUGACCACUCAUCAACCUCGCGUGCACGAAGAACCGGCAAUGGAUGUGAUAAUUGACUCGUCUGAGCAUUUCUAUAAAUAAACAAACAAGAAAUGACCACAAGUAAGAAAAAAUUAAAAUUUUCACCGCUACUUUUUGUAUAUACUUUUGAUUCUCUUUACCUUAUGUACCAGCCCAAGGGGGAUGAAGAAGCUUUGUCAUAUGAACGGGCUUGUUCUAAAAACGCAUCAACAUUUAGCUGAUCAGCGAUUGAUGGACAUCCUCCAGCUAGUUUCAUUAGAACGGACACAACAAUCUCUUGGAAGCCACAUGAGACAGGUUACAAGAAAGAAGAGAAACAUCACUAGGUAUUUUUCGUCUAAUUUUUAAGCAUUCUGGUUUAAAAAGUUUUUUGGUUGUUUUAAAACUGGUACCUUUGGAUCUUGGGCCACGAGAAGUGCUGCACGGUCACAAGUCAGCUCUGCUGAACGUAGCCAACGAAGCAUCUGUUCUUCCAAGGUUCGAGCUAUCAUUUGCCCAAAUGCUACAAACAACAGAACUCAACUUAAGUCACUACAAUUUCGUCAGACCGACACAGAAGAGUGAAGGGCCUACCAGGAACUGUAUAAGCCCCAAGAGUAAGAAUGUUUGCAAAGGUGAGCCACACGCCGUGAUCACACUUCAGAUGACCUAGCUCAUGAGCCAAGACAGCCUAGUUUUUUUUUUGUACAAUUAAAAAAAAAAUUAACUAAUAUGUGCGAUUGGCCAAUAUUAGUAGUAGCAAAAAAAUAUGGAACUUGUAAUUGCAGAGUAUGAACCUGAAGCUCCUGGCGAGUCAGAAGCUCGAUGAGGCUGGUAUGAACGACAAUGAAAGGCUUUUUACCACUUAUCGCCAGAGUGUACGCGUUUGGAACAGGACUCUGUCGAACAUAGAGAUCAGGAGCCUCUAUGUUCAAAAUCUCAGCAGCUUCGACCAACAAACCGUGAAGAUCAGAGAGCUGAGACAUCAAAAAAUACUAAAAACAUCAUGUCUCAUUCUAGGCAGAACAAAAAAAAGUAUAAAAAUGUACCAACCUGGUUCUUGGAGACAAGAACAGAAGUCCCAAUGUUCUCAAGAAGCAUGAUCUGUUCCGUCGCUGAGCCUAACAGAGCUUUCCCGAACUCGUUCAACCCCGGAAUGGCUCUUAGUAACAACGUGUUCUGUACUUACAAUUCAAAACAUCGAAUCAAAGCUUUUCAAAUUACGAUCAUACCGAAGAUAGUAAUUACUAAUGUUAUUAAAAAUUCGGUUUAACCGGGUCCUAUGCGUUUUUAACCGAAACAAUUUUCUUAAAACCCGGUUUACGCAAUUCAAUUGUAAGUUCAAAUCAUUUUAAACUGAUUCAAAUAGGAAUAAAUUGGUUCAAAUUAAUCUAAACCGGUUAAAUCAAGUAACCUGCUUAUCCAAAGGAUGUCGAAAAUCAUCGGCGUCGAGAUCUUUGAACAAGAGAGGAGGCACGGCUCUGCAAACCGGAGCCCUAACCCUCGACUUACGCACCUUCUCCGCACCGAAACCGAUGGAGCUCCGUGAAUUACGACCAGGACUUAAUCUCUUCUGCUGUAUGUAACCUAAACGACUACUUUGUUCGCCGCUCUGAUGGAAACAGAGGGGCGAGAUCGGAGCAGAGACCGAGACAGCCAUGAGAGGAGCUGAGAAGAAGCGACGGAGGUGCGUAGGUUAGCCGUAGGCUUUACUGUUGUAGUAUUGUACGCCGCUUUAAUUUGCGGAAGAGAAGGAUAAAUAAAGAAAUAAUAUUUUUUUUGGUCUCUGCGGUUUCGUUUCGGAGACGAACACUG
rnacentral:lncRNA from 1 species